rnacentral:rRNA from 1 species
AAGUCGAGCGAAGCUUUUCAGUAGUUUACUACAGAAAAUGACUGAGCGGCGAACGGGUGAGUAACGCGUGAGCAAUCUACCUUAGUUACAGGGAUAGCCCGAGGAAACUCGGAUUAAUACCUGAUAUUCUUUAUUUCUCGCAUGAGAAUAAAAGGAAAGGUCAGCCGAACUAAGAUGAGCCCGCGUUCUAUCAGCUAGUUGGUGAGGUAAAAGCUUACCAAGGCUACGACGGAUAGCUGGUCUGAGAGGACGAUCAGCCACACUGGGACUGAGACACGGCCCAGACUCCUACGGGAGGCUGCAGCAGGGAAUAUUGUGCAAUGAACGAAAGUUUGACACAGCGACACCGCGUGUGGGAUGACGGAUCUAGGUUUGUAAACCACUUUCAGGAGGGAAGAAAAUGACGGUACCUCCACAAGAAGCCCCGGCCAACUACGUGCCAGCAGCCGCGGUAAUACGUAGGGGGUGAGCGUUGUCCGGAUUUAUUGGGCGUAAAGAGCUCGUAGGCGGUUCAACAAGUCGGUCGUGAAAGUUCAGGGCUCAACCCUGAAAUGUCGAUCGAUACUGUUGUGACUAGGAUACGGUAGAGGUGAGUGGAAUUCCGAGUGUAGCGGUGAAAUGCGUAGAUAUUCGGAGGAACACCAAUUGCGAAGGCAGCUCACUGGGCCGCUAUCGACGCUGAGGAGCGAAAGCUAGGGGAGCAAACAGGAUUAGAUACCCUGGUAGUCCUAGCUGUAAACGAUGGAUACUAGAUGUAGGAACUGGAUUGACGGUUUCUGUAUCGCAGCUAACGCGUUAAGUAUCCCGCCUGGGGAGUACGGUCGCAAGACUA